AUCAAGUACACUCCAAAGAAGGUCCUUGCAUGGAGGAAGCACAUCAAGUACACUCCAAAGAAGGUCCUUGCAUGGAGGAAGCACAUCAAGUACACUCCAAAGAAGGUCCUUGCAUGGAGGAAGCACAUCAAGUACACUCAAAAGGUCCUUGCGUGGAGGAAGCAUAUCAAGUACACUCCAAAGAAGGUCCUUGCAUGGAGGAAGCAUAUCAAGUACACUCCAAAGAAGGUCCUUGCAUGGAGGAAGCACAUCAAGUACACUCCAAAGAAGGUCCUUGCGUGGAGGAAGCACAUCAAGUACACUCCAAAGAAGGUCCUUGCGUGGAGGAAGCAUAUCAAGUACACUCCAAAGAAGGUCCUUGCGUGGAGGAAGCAUAUCAAGUACACUCCAAAGAAGGUCCUUGCAUGGAGGAAGCAUAUCAAGUACACUCCA